UAAGUGGGUUUUUUUUCAAAAAGGUGACUUAGAAUUCCUGUUACCUUAUAUUCAUUAUUUUGCAAUAGGUAUUUGUGGGUGGGUUAGAUUCCAAUGUAGACGAGGAGUAUCUAAGGCAAAUUUUUACUCCGUAUGGAGAAAUUUCCUAUGUGAAGAUUCCUGUAGGCAAGGAUUGUGGAUUUGUUCAAUUUACCAGCAGGUCAUGUGCUGAGGAAGCCAUCCAAAUGUUGAAUGGGAGUCAGAUUGGUGGGCAGAAAACUCGGCUUUCAUGGGGCCGUAGUACUCAAAACAGACAGGCUUCUCAGCAUGAUGCCAACAGCCAGUAUAAUGGGAACAACUAUUAUCGAUACCAACAGCUGGGUAAUGAAGGUUAUAGCUAUGGUGCACCCAAUGCACAAGACCCAAGCAUUCAAAACUACUAUGGAUACCCUGGUUAUGGUAACUAUGAGCAGCAGUCAACACAGGAGCAGCAGCAGCAGCCUCCACCAGCACAGGAGCA